rnacentral:rRNA from 1 species
GUGGGGAAUAUUGGACAAUGGGCGAAAGCCUGAUCCAGCCAUGCCGCGUGUGUGAAGAAGGUCUUCGGAUUGUAAAGCACUUUAAGUUGGGAGGAAGGGCAGUAAGUUAAUACCUUGCUGUUUUGACGUUACCGACAGAAUAAGCACCGGCUAACUUCGUGCCAGCAGCCGCGGUAAUACGAAGGGUGCAAGCGUUAAUCGGAAUUACUGGGCGUAAAGCGCGCGUAGGUGGUUUUGUAAGUUGGAGGUGAAAUCCCCGGGCUCAACCUGGGAACUGCCUCCAAAACUGCAUGACUAGAGUACGGUAGAGGGUAGUGGAAUUUCCUGUGUAGCGGUGAAAUGCGUAGAUAUAGGAAGGAACCCCAGUGGCGAAGGCGACUACCUGGACUGAUACUGACACUGAGGUGCGAAAGCGUGGGGAGCAAACAGGAUUAGAUACCCCAGUAGUCC